rnacentral:rRNA from 1 species
UAGGGAAUUUUGUGCAAUGGGCGAAAGCCUGACACAGCAACGCCGCGUGAAGGAUGAAGUAUUUCGGUAUGUAAACUUCGUAAGAAUAGGAAGAAUAAAUGACGGUACUAUUUGUAAGGUCCGGCUAACUACGUGCCAGCAGCCGCGGUAAUACGUAGGGACCAAGCGUUGUUCGGAUUUACUGGGCGUAAAGGGCGCGUAGGCGGCAAUUCAAGUCAUCUGUGAAAUCUCCGGGCUUAACUCGGAACGGUCAGAUGAUACUGCUUUGCUAGAGUGCAGAAGGGGCAAUCGGAAUUCUUGGUGUAGCGGUGAAAUGCGUAGAUAUCAAGAGGAACACCUGAGGUGAAGACGGGUUGCUGGGCUGACACUGACGCUGAGGCGCGAAAGCCAGGGGAGCAAACGGGAUUAGAUACCCACGUAGUCCCUGAGCGGGCUGGCAAGGCGCAU